AGACCACUAGCAUGCUGGAGUCGAACGUCUGCGGAUAGAUACUCGUAAGGCCCACAGUAUUAUCAUUAAGGGAUAAAAAUGUACAGAUUCCGUUCACGCAUACAUAGAGAUAUAGGAGAGCAUAAGUAAAAGGCGAAGAAGAAAAGCGCGGCAUUCUGUGGCGAGUUCUUGGUUAGACGAGUGGAAUAAAGGAAAAUAAGAAGUUUAA